GCCGGGCGCGGUGGCGCGCGCCUGUAAUCCAAGUUACCGGGAGGCUGAGGCUCGAGGAUCGUUUGAGCUCAGGAGCUCUGAGCUGCAGCGGACUAUGCCGAUCGGGUGUCCGCACUAAGUUCGGUAUCGAUAUGGUGUUCCUUGGGGAGCCCGGGACCACCAGGUCGUCUAAGGAGGGGUGAACCGGCCCAGGUCGGAAACGGAGCAGGUCAAAUCCCCCGUGCCGCUCAGUAGUGGGAUCGCGCCUGUGAAUAGACGUUGGAGUGCAACCUGAGCAAUACAGCGAGACCCAGUCUUU
rnacentral:SRP_RNA from 1 species